rnacentral:rRNA from 1 species
CACGAACGCUGGCGGCAGGCUUAACACAUGCAAGUCGAGCGCCCCGCAAGGGGAGCGGCAGACGGGUGAGUAACGCGUGGGAAUCUACCCAUCUCUACGGAAUAACGCAUGGAAACGUGUGCUAAUACCGUAUACGUCCUUCGGGAGAAAGAUUUAUCGGAGAUGGAUGAGCCCGCGUUGGAUUAGCUAGUUGGUGGGGUAAAGGCCUACCAAGGCGACGAUCCAUAGCUGGUCUGAGAGGAUGAUCAGCCACACUGGGACUGAGACACGGCCCAGACUCCUACGGGAGGCAGCAGUGGGGAAUAUUGGAAAAUGGGCGCACGCCUGAUCCAGCCAUGCCGCGUGAGUGAUGAAGGCCCUAGGUUUGAAAAGCUCUUUCACCGGUGAAGAUAAUGACGGUAACCGGAGAAGAAGCCCCGGCUAACUUCGUGCCAGCCGCCGCAGUAAUAC